rnacentral:rRNA from 1 species
GAAGCGAACGCGGUGAACUGAAACAUCUAAGUAACCGCAGGAAAAGAAAUCAACCGAGAUUCCCAAAGUAGUGGCGAGCGAAAUGGGAUGAGCCUUGCACUCUUUAUUUGUAUUGUUAGCCGAACGCUCUGGAAAGUGCGGCCAUAGCAGGUGAUAGCCCUGUAGGCGAAAACAGUAUGAAAGAACUAGGUGUGCGACAAGUAGGGCGGGACACGUGAAAUCCUGUCUGAAGAUGGGGGGACCAUCCUCCAAGGCUAAAUACUCGUGAUCGACCGAUAGUGAACCAGUACCGUGAGGGAAAGGCGAAAAGAACCCCGGGAGGGGAGUGAAAUAGAUCCUGAAACCGCAUGCAUACAAACAGUCGGAGCCUCGUAAGGGGUGACGGCGUACCUUUUGUAUAAUGGGUCAGCGACUUACGUUCAGUAGCAAGCUUAACCGUAUAGGGCAGGCGUAGCGAAAGCGAGUCCGAAUAGGGCGUUCAGUUGCUGGGCGUAGACCCGAAACCAGGUGAUCUAUCCAUGGCCAGGAUGAAGGUGCGGUAACACGUACUGGAGGUCCGAACCCACUAACGUUGAAAAGUUAGGGGAUGAGCUGUGGAUAGGGGUGAAAGGCUAAACAAACCUGGAAAUAGCUGGUUCUCUCCGAAAACUAUUUAGGUAGUGCCUCGUGUCUCACCUUCGGGGGUAGAGCACUGUCAUGGUUGGGGGGUCUAUUGCAGAUUACCCCGCCAUAGCAAACUCCGAAUACCGAAGAGUGCAAUCACGGGAGACAGACAUCGGGUGCUAACGUCCGGUGUCAAGAGGGAAACAACCCAGACCGCCAGCUAAGGUCCCCAAAUAUAGCUAAGUGGGAAACGAAGUGGGAAGGCUAAAACAGUCAGGAGGUUGGCUUAGAAGCAGCCACCCUUUAAAGAAAGCGUAAUAGCUCACUGAUCGAGUCGUCCUGCGCGGAAGAUGUAACGGGGCUAAGCUAUAUACCGAAGCUGCGGAUGCGUGCUUUGCACGCAUGGUAGGAGAGCGUUCCGUAAGCCUGCGAAGGUGCCUUGUAAAGGGUGCUGGAGGUAUCGGAAGUGCGAAUGCUGACAUGAGUAGCGAUAAAGGGGGUGAAAGGCCCCCUCGCCGUAAGCCCAAGGUUUCCUACGCAACGUUCAUCGGCGUAGGGUGAGUCGGCCCCUAAGGCGAGGCAGAAAUGCGUAGCUGAUGGGAAGCAGGUCAAUAUUCCUGCACCAUUGUUAGAUGCGAUGGGGGGACGGAUCGCGGAAGGUUGUCCGGGUGUUGGAAGUCCCGGUCGCUGCAUUGGAGAAGGC